UGCGUAGGUGGGCUUGUGUGUCGAAUGUGAAAGCCUGUGGCUCAACCACAGAAUUGCGUUCGAAACUGCAAGUCUUGAGUGUAGAAGGGGAGAGCGGAAUUCUGGGAGUAGCGGUGAAAUGCGUUGAUAUCCAGAAGAACACCGGCGGCGAAGGCGGCUCUCUGGUCUACUACUGACGCUGAGGCACGAAAGCUAGGGGAGCAAACA
rnacentral:rRNA from 1 species